UACGUAGGGGGCAAGCGUUGUCCGGAAUCAUUGGGCGUAAAGAGCGUGUAGGCGGCCCGGUAAGUCCGCUGUGAAAGUCGGGGGCUCAACCCUCGAAUGCCGGUGGAUACUGUCGGGCUAGAGUGCGGGAGAGGCGAGUGGAAUUCCUGGUGUAGCGGUGAAAUGCGCAGAUAUCAGGAGGAACACCAAUUGCGAAGGCAGCUCGCUGGAACGUAACUGACGCUGAGACGCGAAAGCGUGGGGAGCAAACAGG
rnacentral:rRNA from 1 species